AGCAGUAGCCACGGUAAUACGUAGGUGGCAAGCGUUGUCCGGAGUCAUUGGGCGUAAAGGGCUCGCAGGCGGUUUCUUAAGCCUGAUGUGAAAGCCCCCGGCUCAACCGGGGAGGGUCAUUGGAAACUGGGAAACUUGAGUGCAGAAGAGGAGAGUGGAAUUCCAUGUGUAGCGGUGAAAUGCGUAGAUAUAUGGAGGAACACCGGUGGCGAAAGCGGCUCUCUGGUCUGUAACUGACGCUGAGGCUCGAAAGCGUGGGGAGCGAACAGGAUUAGAUACCCCGGUAGUCCCUGUCUCUUAUAA
rnacentral:rRNA from 1 species